AGGAUGAACGCUAGCGGCAGGCUUAACACAUGCAAGUCGAGGGGUAACGAUUCUGAGUAAUCGGAAGGCGACGACCGGCGCACGGGUGAGUAUCGCGUUUGCAACCUACCUCUGACUGGAGCAUAGCCCGAAGAAAUUCGGAUUAAUACUCCAUAAUACUGCGAGAAGGCAUCUUUUUUCAGUUAAAGCUUCGGCGGUCAGAGAUGGGCAUGCGUAACAUUAGCUAGUUGGUGAGGUAACUGCUCACCAAGGCUACGAUGUUUAGGGGGUCUGAGAGGAUGGUCCCCCACACUGGUACUGAGACACGGACCAGACUCCUACGGGAGGCAGCAGUGAGGAAUAUUGGUCAAUGGGCGAAAGCCUGAACCAGCCAUGCCGCGUGAAGGAUGACGGCCCUAUGGGUUGUAAACUUCUUUUAUACGGGAAGAAACCUCUCUACGUGUAGAGGGUUGACGGUACCGUACGAAUAAGCAUCGGCUAACUCCGUGCCAGCAGCCGCGGUAAUACGGAGGAUGCAAGCGUUAUCCGGAUUCAUUGGGUUUAAAGGGUGCGCAGGCGGAGAAUUGAGUCAGUGGUGAAAUCCUGCGGCUUAACUGUAGAAUUGUCAUUGAUACUGGUUUUCUUGAAUGCAGUUGAGGUAGGCGGAAUGUGUAAUGUAGCGGUGAAAUGCUUAGAUAUUACCCAGAACACCGAUUGCGAAGGCAGCUUACUAAACUGUGAUUGACGCUGAGGCACGAAAGCGUGGGGAGCGGACAGGAUUAGAUACCCUGGUAGUCCACGCUGUAAACUAUGAUCACUCGUUGUUGGCAAUACAUCGUCAGCGACUGAGCGAAAGCAUUAAGUGAUCCACCUGGGGAGUACGAUCGCAAGAUUGAAACUCAAAGGAAUUGACGGGGCCCGCACAAGCGGAGGAACAUGUGGUUUAAUUCGAUGAUACGCGAGGAACCUUACCUGGGCUUAAAUGCAUAACGACGGACCGGGAAACUGGUCUUUCUUCGGACGGCAUGCAAGGUGCUGCAUGGCUGUCGUCAGCUCGUGCCGUGAGGUGUCGGGUUAAGUCCCAUAACGAGCGCAACCCUUAUCAUUAGUUGCCAGCGGGUAAUGCCGGGGACUCUAAUGAAACUGCCGGUGUAAA
rnacentral:rRNA from 1 species